AGACUUUGAUCCUGGCUCAGGACGAACGCUGGCGGCGUGCCUAACACAUGCAAGUCGAACGGAGUUUUAGGUCAGCUUGCUGACCGAAGAACUUAGUGGCGCACGGGUGAGUAACACGUGGGCAAUCUGCCCGGAAGUCUGGGAUAACAGCUCGAAAGGGCUGCUAAUACCGGAUACCUUCACGAAGACACAUGUUUUUGUGAAGAAAGUUUUUUCGCUUCCGGAUGAGCCCGCGUCCCAUUAGCUAGUUGGUGAGGUAACGGCUCACCAAGGCAACGAUGGGUAGCUGGUCUGAGAGGACGAUCAGCCACACUGGAACUGAGACACGGUCCAGACUCCUACGGGAGGCAGCAGUGGGGAAUCUUGCGCAAUGGGCGAAAGCCUGACGCAGCAACGCCGCGUGAACGAUGAAGGCCUUCGGGUCGUAAAGUUCUGUCAAGGGGGAAGAAGAUCUGACGGUACCCUCUGGAGGAAGCUCCGGCUAAUA
rnacentral:rRNA from 1 species